rnacentral:rRNA from 1 species
AUGGCCAAAUUGCUUGGACUGCGAUACCGUAUUGUGUACAAGAAGGGCGAAGACAACAAAGCGGCAGAUGCACUCUCACGCCGCCCUGGGCCGUUACAAGGAGACCUCGCUACCAUAACUGUGGCGGUUCUCGCAUGGUUGGAAACAGUACAGCAAGGCUAUGAGCAGGAUCCAGCAGCCCAAAAAUUGCUAGCGAAAUUGUCUACAACACCAGAGGGACAUGCGGGCUUUCGCCUGCAGGAUGGGGUCAUUCGCCGGCAUGGGAGGGUAUGGCUGGGAGCCAAUGUAACCCUGCAGAAGCAAGUGCCCGCAGCACUACAUUCCAGUGCCAUUGGAGGCCACUCCGGCUUCAAUGUGACAUACAAGCGGAUCCGCAGACUGUUUACUUGGCCGAGUCUCAAGCACCAUGUGCGGCUGUUUGUGGAGCAGUGUCAGACAUGCAAACAAGCAAAACCUGAACGAGUACGUUACCCGGGGCUGUUGGAGCCAUUACCUGUGCCUAAGCAAGCGUGGGAGCUGAUUACUAUGGACUUUGUGGAAGGUCUUCCCCGCUCAGCAGGCUACAACAGCAUCUUAGUGGUGGUCGACAAAUUUUCACGGUAUGCGCACUUCAUUGCCUUGUCACAUCCCUUCACUGCGUUUCAAGUGGCAGUGGCCUUUGCCAACAACAUAUACAAGUUGCACGGUUUGCCAGAAGGAAUUGUGUCUGAUCGUGACCCAAUCUUUACGAGUGUAAUGUGGAGAGGGCUGUUUCGUCUCACGCACACCGAGUUGCGUAUGAGCACUGCAAGACACCCACAGACGGAUGGUCAGUCCGAGCGCGUCAACCAGUGCCUUGAGACUUACCUCCGCUGCUUCGUGCAUGCCUGCCCUACCAAGUGGUCAUCAUGGCUACCGUUGGCGGAAUUCUGGUAUAAUACUUCACCUCAUUCAGCUUUGGGGACUUCUUCUUUUGAGGUACUGUAUGGCCAUGCUCCUCGGCACUUUGGCAUCCUGGAUACUACAGUUUGUGCUUCGCCGGAUAUAGGGGAAUGGCUUCAGGACAGGGCACAAAUGGAGACUAUGCUGCGGCAGCAUCUCCUCCGGGCCAGACAGCACAUGAAGGAAUCAGCGGACAAGCGUCGAUCUGAUCGGGUGUUCCAAGUGGAUGACUGGGUGUUUCUCAAACUGCAACCCUAUCUCCAACGAUCAGUGGCCACUCGCGCUAACACUAAGCUCUCGUUCAAGUACUUUGGUCCUUUUCAGGUUAUCCAAAAGGUGGGUAAUGUGGCGUACAAGCUCAAGCUGCCGGAGACAAGCACGGUGCAUCCGGUGUUUCAUGUCUCUCAGCUCCGCAGUGCACUGCCACCAUCGGAAAAUGCUCUGGAAGAGUUACCACACGAAGCGGCACCGCAGCCGGAACCGGUGGAGGUGCUUGACAGCCGCAUUCAUCAUCGCGCAGGCGUAGACGUACCGCAAGUGUUGGUGCGUUGGACUGACCAGCCAGCAGCGCUGGCGACAUGGGAGGACCGAGAGGAGUUGCGGCUGUACUUCCCAGCUGCUACAGCUUGGGGUCAAGCUGCGUCUCAAGGAAGGGGGAAUGUUACGGCCCCUCCUACUUCUUCAGCUACACCAGGCGCUGCUACUUCUACGACCAAGGCCCAGACGGAGAUUGAGGCCCAUGGCCGACCGACGCGGGCUCGCAAGGGGAGUGAGCGGUACCCGGCCCAUAGCUGGGUCACUGGCUGA